GACGAACGCUGGCGGCGUGCUUAACACAUGCAAGUCGAACGGAAAGGCCCUGCUUUUGUGGGGUGCUCGAGUGGCGAACGGGUGAGUAACACGUGAGUAACCUGCCCUUGACUUUGGGAUAACUUCAGGAAACUGGGGCUAAUACCGGAUAGGAGCUCCUGCUGCAUGGUGGGGGUUGGAAAGUUUCGGCGGUUGGGGAUGGACUCGCGGCUUAUCAGCUUGUUGGUGGGGUAGUGGCUUACCAAGGCUUUGACGGGUAGCCGGCCUGAGAGGGUGACCGGCCACAUUGGGACUGAGAUACGGCCGAGACUCCUACGGGAGGCAGCAGUGGGGAAUAUUGCACAAUGGGCGGAAGCCUGAUGCAGCAACGCCGCGUGCGGGAUGACGGCCUUCGGGUUGAAAACCGCUUUCGCCUGUGACGAAGCGUGAGUGACGGUAAUGGGUAAAGAAGCACCGGCUAACUACG
rnacentral:rRNA from 1 species